UCUUGCCUCUCUGCCGGAAAGAAGACUAGAUUGUCACAUUUGGCGUCAACGAACUGGAUCGAACAUGGAAGUGCAAGAAGGCAACCCCACCACAGAUGACAACAGGAUCAGUAUCAUUAAUGACAAGAUUGCAGAACUUACCCAAACUCUCACUGAGAUAAGAAGAGAGUUAAGAGACCUGAGACAUAAAUGGUCUGUAACCAGAUACAAGAAGUGGUGUCCAGACCGUGGAUUGCGAAACCAACCCCGAUGGGAUGUUCCCCGAAAGACUGGAAAAUGGGUGACUAAGCAAUUCAACGCUCGGGGGAGGCCUAUUUGUCGGCGAUGCAGACAAAGUGGGCAUAUCAAAAGAAAUUGUCAACAACCCUCAGGAAGAGUGGAGAGAGUAGGACCACCCUGUUAAGGACAGUCCAGAGAUGCAGGUCAAAAUACAGUAGUACAGAACCAGGUUAUCGUGUCUGGCACACUAUCUGAUGAGGAUAUUCAGCAAGUCAGCGCAGGAAUAAUUCCAGGCCAAGUUGUGUGGUUUAGUGUACCACGUGGUUAUGGAUUUAUAAAGCGAACCGACACGAAAAAAAGAGUAUACGUGCAUUAUACUGCCAUUCAGAAGGCCAGCCUGGAACAGUGUUUCCGAAGUCUGGGAAGUGGAGAAAUGGUUGAGUUUGAAUUGGCAAAUGGAAAGAAGGGCAUCAAAGCCAUUAAUGUAACUGGUCCUGGUGGUGUCCAAGUGCAAGGCAACAAACAUGCCACAUGGCACAAACAGUACUGGUGCUGUUCGUAUUGUAGAGAUCCUCCACACAACUGUCAGCAGGAUUACCAACACAACAGAAGUGGAGAAGAACAAGGAGAAGCAAAAAGUGCUGAGGAAAGACAACAAGAACCUGUCAUCCCAGAGCAAAGUCAAUCACUGGAACGAACAGAUGAACAAGUUGUGGAAGAACAGAGUGAAAAAAUGCAGCAGAGCGUACCGGAUGCAGUCAGGCUGCAACUUCCUACACAGCCACUACAUGAGAUCAAACCAAGAGUGGAAGAUACCGAUUCCAGCAUGGCCUACCCCAAUCAAGUAGAUUUAACCGACACUGACCAGGAAAAACAUACAGAGGGAGUGACUUGCAUGUCCAUGGCAGAGGGAUUGGCAACCCUCAGACCCAAUUGCCCAGAUUCUGUUAUGCAAAAUUCUGAAUCUAAUGUUCCAGCAGAAUCACCUAGUGUAGCUAAAAAGAGUGAGAGGUAUCCUCCAGAGUGGUAUUACUCAGGCGAGUACACCACGAUAACCUCUGAGGAGAUUAAUUUGAUGUUCCAGCAGGCUUUGAGGAGGUCAGGGAAGAGGAACAAAGGUGCUUCACGUAUUCAGAAUAGAUAUUAGCCUGUGGUAUAGAGAGUCAUUUGUUAUGUAAUGUAUGUACUUACCAUUUAUUCAAAUGUUUAACUGUAACACAAAAUUUUUAAUUUAGACUAUGCUAUAUUGAACUUGGAAUAUUGCCUGUUGCGUGAGGACACGCAAAAUUCUAGUGGAGGGAUAUGUAAUACCCUGCUAUAUGAGGUAUUACGUGUGGCACGCUACAGAGUAUCUACAUUUGAUUAUACAGGCAGAUAAUUUUCCAGCAGCCUUGGCAGCAGCUCUGGAGGUCAGGGGCAGGUCACAUGACCAGUGGCAGUUGGAGGGAGGACAGUUGGUCAGGACACGGUCUGAGGUAGCUGUGAGAGAGGAGGGCAUCUCUGGCAGUGGAAAAUUCCUCUCAGAAAAUGGAGGUGCCACUGAGAGCAGCUGACAGGCAGUGGCUGUGAGAGCCACUCAGUAAAAGUCUAUAAACUUCUACUUCUAAUUUGCGACUGCUGCAGCGCUGGAAGCAGAGUGGGUGUCUACAGAAAUGAUGUCAUCCUAUAGGAGGUAUAUAUAGCAGUCCCAUUCUCACCCUCAGUUAUAGCUGUGAAGGGAAUCCUGAGAGACUACUAGGGAUUUUUAUUGACCUAUUUUUGAGCCUACCUUAUUGCUCUUAUUCAGAAUUGGAGUUGUCAUUUUAUACUUAAAAGGUCAUUGUCACAGCAAUUUUACUCUUUAUGUAUAUUGGUGAACUAUAUAUGAUAAACACGAAUAUUGUAAUAUCUUCUAUCUUUGAGAAUAUUGUUCAUACCCACGGCAAAGGCUGGAUGGGAUUUUGAACUUUACAAACAUUGACCAUUUUGAUCACGACCCCUGAUGAAGUCCUAUAUGGACGAAACGCGUUGGGUUUUCACGCAUUUGUGAAUUUGAGCAUACAUCUGAACGCUUUGGUGGAAGAAUUGAUAUUCGAUUUAAGUGUAGUCAUCACCAAACAGAAUUCGUCAGAUGAUUUUCAAUCUAUAUUGUCCACUUAUGGAGGUAUAUAUAGCAGUCCCAUUCUCACCCUCAGUUAUAGCUGUGAAGGGAAUCCUGAGAGACUACUAGGGAUUUUUAUUGACCUAUUUUUGAGCCUACCUUAUUGCUCUUAUUCAGAAUUGGAGUUGUCAUUUUAUACUUAAAAGGUCAUUGUCACAGCAAUUUUACUCUUUAUGUAUAUUGGUGAACUAUAUAUGAUAAACACGAAUAUUGUAAUAUCUUCUAUCUUUGAGAAUAUUGUUCAUACCCACGGCAAAGGCUGGAUGGGAUUUUGAAAUUUACAAACAUUGACCAUUUUGAUCACGACCCCUGAUGAAGUCCUAUAUGGACGAAACGCGUUGGGUUUUCACGCAUUUGUGAAUUUGAGCAUACAUCUGAACGCUUUGGUGGAAGAAUUGAUAUUCGAUUUAAGUGUAGUCAUCACCAAACAGAAUUCGUCAGAUGAUUUUCAAUCUAUAUUGUCCACUUAUGGUUAUUAUCACAGCAAUUUUUCUUCUGUUUAUACACAUUGGUGAACUCUUUAUGAUAGACACCAAUAUUGGAAUAUCCUUUAUCUGUGAGAAUUCUUACAUACACCUACGGCAAAAGUUGGAUGUGAUAUUUUACAAACUUUGAUCACAUUGGUAUGUAAGUAGAUGAUCUUAAUGUAGCAAGACUGUGAUAAAUAUAAUUAGUAUAUGGUGUAUCAUCUUCUUUUUAA